GGUCCGCUGGCGUAAUGGCAGCGCGUCUGACUACGAUACAAGUAUCAAUCAGGAGGUUCCAGGUUCGACCCCUGGGCGGAUCG
rnacentral:tRNA from 2 species